rnacentral:rRNA from 1 species
AGCGAACGCUGGCGGCAGGCCUAACACAUGCAAGUCGAACGAAGUCUUCGGACUUAGUGGCGGACGGGUGAGUAACACGUGGGAACGUACCUUUUGGUUCGGAACAACUCAGGGAAACUUGAGCUAAUACCGGAUGAGCCCUUAGGGGGAAAGAUUUAUCGCCGAAAGAGCGGCCCGCGUUAGAUUAGCUAGUUGGUGAGGUAAAGGCUCAGCAAGGCUACGAUCUAUAGCUGGUCUGAGAGGAUGAUCAGCCACACUGGGACUGAGCCCCGGACCGGACUACUACGGGAGGCAGAAGUGGGGAGUCUUGCGCAAUGGGCGCGAGCCUGACGCAGGCAUGCCGCGUGAAUGAGGAAGGUCUUAGGAUUGUAAAAUUCUUUUACCAGGGACGAUAAUGACGGUACCUGGAGAAAAAGCCCCGGCUAACUUCGUGCCAGCCGCCGCGGUAAGAC